rnacentral:rRNA from 1 species
UCGGGAAUAUUGCGCAAUGGAGGAAACUCUGACGCAGUGACGCCGCGUAUAGGAAGAAGGUUUUCGGAUUGUAAACUAUUGUCGUUAGGGAAGAUAAAAGACUGUACCUAAGGAGGAAGCCCCGGCUAACUAUGUGCCAGCAGCCGCGGUAAUACAUAGGGGGCAAGCGUUAUCCGGAAUUAUUGGGUGUAAAGGGUGCGUAGACGGCCGAAUAAGUUAUAGGUGAAAGCCCAUCUUUCAAGGAUGGAAUUGCCUGUAAUACUGCCUGGCUUGAGUGCAGGAGAGGGAAGCGGAAUUCCUAGUGUAGCGGUGAAAUGCGUAGAUAUUAGGAGGAACACCAGUGGCGAAGGCGGCUUUCUGGACUGCAACUGACGUUGAGGCGCGAAAGCGUGGGGAGCAAACAGGAUUAGAUACC